GCAGACCCCUCGUGCGGCGCUCCUCUCGCUGAACUCCCCCAGGGCCGGAAGGCAGCAAGGGCAAGCGGGCUCUUGGCGGGUGCGCGAGGGGUCCUUCAU
rnacentral:SRP_RNA from 1 species